CUUUUUCAAAUUGAACCUGAUAUCA
rnacentral:misc_RNA from 1 species